CAAUGCGAAACCUCUUGGUGGUUGAUUUUUUCGAAUAAUAUUUUUAUAUGUAAUUUAUUUUUUCACUGCUUUUCAGAGAUACGAACAAGAAUUUCCUCAUUAUAGGCCUUUUAUAAUGCAGGGGAAAAUGUAUAAAAUAUUUUUUAUUUUGUACUCGAGAAUCAUUCCAAGUUUUUUACUGAUCGAAGCAUUGGAACGAUUUCUAAAUCGUUUAAAAAUCAGCAAAGUAUUGAUUCCUUAGAUGACGUAGUUUUAGUAGAAAAUAAUAGUUCCCCAAAUUGUCUACAAAACCUGCAAAGAAGAUUGAGUUGAAUGGUUCAAUUGAAAAAAAAAAGUAUCUGAAUAUUUGAUUAGAAUAAAAGGAAUGGAAAAGUAUCACGUAUUUAUGUUCCCCUGUGAUCAUCCUGAAAUUGUAAGAAUGAAGGAGUGGUCUAACAGUAAAUAAAUUAAAUCGUUAAGGGUAUUAAAGAAUGGAAUUUCAACUAAAGAAUAAGCAAUUUCGACUCCUAAAAACUAUUUAUGUGAAGAGGCUUUUCUAACAGAAGAAAAGUAUAGAACACCUAGAAGAAAAUUUAGUUCAUUCGAUCAAUUGUGAGAACAAGAGUGUAGUAUCACCAACUGGAUGUAUUAUGUAUGAUGAUGUGAAUGAUAGUUGUUAUUGUAUAUAUAUAUUUAUCAGAUUUAAGCUAUCAUGAAUUAUUGUUAUUUUGAUAUUAUGUUUGAUGAUAAAUGAUGUGUUGAGAGGUUUAUUGCUGAGUUGUGUGUCUGGAUAUGAUACGCGUAUGAUGAAUAAUCACCAAGGCCAAUCAUCACAUGCUGGGAGCAUGUGAUGAGGUGAAUUGGAGAGUUCUAGAACAACUAGCAUUAUACCCCAAACGUCUAUAAAUAUAUGUUAUGAUGUAUGUAGGGGAAUGAAUCGCCAGAUUAUCUCCGAAGAACUAAGUAAUAAAUAAGGCAGUGUGCAAACGUA
rnacentral:lncRNA from 1 species